rnacentral:lncRNA from 1 species
GAAGGAGAAGGCCAGAGACUGACAGGUGGGAGAUUUGAAUAUUGAUCAUUUUGAACUUUUUUCCCCCAAAAGCAUCCAUAUUGACACACUAGAGAUCAAAGCUUCAUUUCAAGCUUAGCCAAUACAAUGAGGUAAAUCUAACAAACUUAUAUCGGAAAUCGGAUAAUGAAGAGCCACUCUUUUUCUUUAAACAAAAGAAAGAGAGUCUCUAUUGCUAGAAGGUGAGCAACACGAUUAUCCUGACGAGGUACGUGCACGAUGUACGCAUUAGGUAGGGGGUGAGAACGACCGCCGAUCCACACCGAGUAGGAUGCCUACGUGUGCAUUAGUAGUGAAUAGUCAGACUGAAUGGAUAAUUGAAGUCGUCCAUGCAUGCAACAUCAAGAUCGAGAGCGGAUAAAACUAGAGGACCAGAUAAAUGUGGGUGCACCUGGCCGGAAGCGGAAACCAUAGAGCCAUAGAGGUCGAGGUGAACUACACCCAGAGCCCCGAAGCGAGCGUUGGAGAUAGUAGCCGAACCAACUGUUGCAUCGGCAAAGAUAUAUCAUGCUGACAUUGGAGGAGCUUGAAGCAUCGUCGCACGCACAUCCGGUAAACGAUAGGAACCAACGUUGCUCUGUCGAUGAUUAUCACCAAAGCCUCCGUCCAUUAUGCUGAAAAUUAUAGAGCCAAACACUCGAUAGAGCGUUGAUAUUGGGAAAAGACUAUCAUACACUUAGACUUCCAAAGGCACC